AUGCGAAAGCAGUUGAAAACAGAUUGAAAGAAUUUGGAAACAAGUUCUAGUAGGUUUGGAAGUUCGUAAAGAACAUGGCCUCGUUGAACGGUGGAGAGAGUCACUAGGUGAUCGUCAGAUCUGCUUAGUCUCUAUACAGCGCGUCAACAUGGGUGAUGGCGGCGAAGCUGUUGCGAAAGUUUGUUUGAGGUUUCUCACAGACAGACGCGAUGGAUGAGCUGCUUAGCCCGAACAGUCUUGUCUCGGACAUCUAGCGAUUCCGUGGGCAAGCAGUGAAGGAUUUGGUGGAUUACUAGCUAAUAGCAAUCUAUUUCAAAGAAUUCAAACUUGGGGGAAUGCCUCGUCGAAUAGCCGGUUGUUUAAUUACAUCUGUGAUUCGAUGAGUGUAACCUCCUCUCAAAUCAAUGAUAUUAAACUUGCUUCUGUGAAACAUCGGAUCAGUGUUUAGUGGAAGUUGAUUAGAGGAAACUCAAAGAGUGCUAUGGCAUGAUGGGCGAGUGAGAAGAAAGUGUAAAAGCUCUUUUCUUGCUUUGCUCGUUGCUUGUUCGCAAGCCAACCUUUAAAAAGUUAUCUUCAAAUGACGGUAGUUUGGUAGGACCUCUCUCGGGAGCGACUGCUUUUCUGCUGUUCAGAUUAAAGAUAGU